rnacentral:rRNA from 1 species
GUGUCAGCCGCCGCGGUAAUACGAAGGGGGCGAGCGUUGUUCGGAAUUACUGGGCGUAAAGGGCGCGCAGGCGGCCUUAGGAGUCAGAUGUGAAAGCCCCGGGCUCAACCUGGGAAUGGCAUUUGAUACUCUGAGGCUGGAGUACGGGAGAGGAGAGUGGAAUUCCCAGUGUAGAGGUGAAAUUCGUAGAUAUUGGGAAGAACACCGGUGGCGAAGGCGGCUCUCUGGACCGUAACUGACGCUGAGGCGCGAAAGCGUGGGGAGCAAACAGGAUUAGAUACCCGGGUAGUCC